rnacentral:rRNA from 1 species
AGAGUUUGAUCAUGGCUCAGAAUCAACGCUGGCGGCGUGCCUCAGACAUGCAAGUCGAACGCGAAACCUUCCUUCGGGAGGGGAGUAGAGUGGCGCACGGGUGAGUAACACGUAGGUAAUUUGCCUUUGGGUGGGGAAUAACUCAGGGAAACUUGAGCUAAUACCGCAUAAUGCAGCGGCUCGACAUCGAGACAGUUGUUAAAGCGGGGGAUUCUUCGGAACCUCGCGCCUAAAGAGAAGCCUGCGGCAGAUUAGCUAGUUGGCAGGGUAAUGGCCUACCAAGGCGACGAUCUGUAACCGGCCUGAGAGGGCGGUCGGUCACACUGACACUGACAUACGGGUCAGACUCCUACGGGAGGCAGCAGUCGGGAAUUUUGGGCAAUGGGCGAAAGCCUGACCCAGCAACGCCGCGUGAAGGAUGAAAUUUUUCGGAAUGUAAACUUCGCAAGAACGGGAAGAAUAAGUAGAAGCUAAUACCUUCUAUGAUGACGGUACCGUUUGUAAGCUCCGGCUAACUCCGUGCCAGCAGCCGCGGUAAUACGGGGGGAGCAAGCGUUGUUCGGAUUUACUGGGCGUAAAGGGCGCGUAGGCGGUCGUGACAAGUCACUUGUGAAAUCUCCGGGCUUAACUCGGAACGGUCAAGUGAUACUGUCGGACUAGAGUACAGAAGGGGCAACUGGAAUUCUCGGUGUAGCGGUGAAAUGCGUAGAUAUCGAGAGGAACACCUGCGGCGAAGGCGGGUUGCUGGGCUGAUACUGACGCUGAGGCGCGAAAGCCAGGGGAGCGAACGGGAUUAGAUACCCCCGUAGUCC